GACGAACGCUGGCGGCGUGCUUAACACAUGCAAGUCGAACGGAAAGGCCCUGCUUGCAGGGUGCUCGAGUGGCGAACGGGUGAGUAACACGUGGGUGAUCUGCCCCUUACUUUGGGAUAAGCCUGGGAAACUGGGUCUAAUACUGGAUAGGACCAUGCUGUAGGUGGUGUGGUGGAAAGAUUAGUUUCGGUAAGGGAUGAGCUCGCGGCCUAUCAGCUUGUUGGUGGGGUAAUGGCCUACCAAGGCGUCGACGGGUAGCCGGCCUGAGAGGGUGGACGGCCACAUUGGGACCGAGAUACGGCCCAGACUCCUACGGGAGGCAGCAGUGGGGAAUAUUGCACAAUGGGCGCAAGCCUGAUGCAGCGACGCCGCGUGGGGGAUGACGGCCUUCGGGUUGUAAACUCCUUUCAGCCAUGACGAAGCCUUCGGGUGACGGUAGUGGUAGAAGAAGCACCGGCUAACUACGUG
rnacentral:rRNA from 1 species